AAAGAACUGACUGGAGAUCUGGCUUGAUUUUGACAUUUAAUAAAAUUGGAUGGAUGGAUGCUGUCACAUUGUUGAAAAAAGGCAACUCUGGAGAAGAUGGGCCUGCAGGGGAAAGUCACACCCUUGCUGGCCAAAAAAAAAAGUGAGACAACAAUAAAAAAAAUACAAAGAUUUAAUUAUCCAGGAUCAGGAGAGCGACUCAGCUUGAAGUCCAGUGCUGCUACUGGGCCCUGGUUUGUCCUUAUGAAUGAGGUGUUGGGACAGGCUUUCCUGUUCUAACUGUUAUCCCUGAGGACACCAAAGCCAGAGAAUGAGGAUGAGGAAGGGAGCCAGUCAGCAGAGAAAGGUCCAAAAAGGCAGUGGGACAGAGAUGAUAAGCUGCUGGAGUUAAUGUGAACAUGAGGCUGCAAAGAGAAGCUGAGGAGAGGAGGCCACGGGAAAGAAUGGCAAGGAUAGACCGACUAUUUGCUGUAUUGGAAAGACUAGUACCUAAAUAAAUUGCUGUACAAAUAAAUUGAUUUGGUUUUACCAA